GAGAGAGAGAGAGAGAAGUAGAGACAGAGAGAGAGAAUUCACUCCUGUAAUACUACUAUAUUUGGAGUCGUCCUCUGAUCUGUCCUGAGAACCUUCGCAGCAACUCUCACUCGUGGGAGAACCAUGGCGCAGCUUUGGCAGACAUUCCUUGGGAAGCCAGACACUGGGAGGUGAGUUCCAUGCUGAAGAAGAUGUGGUGAGGGUUGAGCCGGGUUCGUGUCUCGCUGGCUCAGGACGUUGACCAAGGCUGGCUUUGGAGAGGCAGCCUCUCCUGUGGUCAUAGGGCACACGGCCCCUUAACCUCAGCUGGCCACCUGGCAUUGCUGGCUGUCAAGCGGGUGCCUGCGACUCUGGAAUAAGCACUCAUGAUUUCCUACAUUCACCCUCAUUUCUGGGUCUCACAAAGACAGGGCAGCGCAGGCAUUUCCUAGGCCUCUGGACACCCGGAUCUUUUUGUCUCCUGCCUCACUUCACUCCUCUCUCCUGCAGACCUGAAGAGGUGUCUCUGUUCCAUACCCUGUGAGAAGAUUCCUGGGCUCUAGGGAGAGGAUGGCUCUGUUAAACUAUUCGUGAAGUUCCAGGAGUCACUGAUGCGCCUGGAUCGUGACUGAUGGGCCAGUGGCACCUUCCAUCCGAGACGAACUCCAAGAAUUUCCGCUGCUGGCAGUGACCUCCCGGACUGGGAGGAUCAGCUGCAUCUGCCUCCAGGAAUGUGGGACCUAGAGACACCAAACCUAGGAAGGCCUCCGUGGGGCCCGAAGCUUUAGUUCUAGAAAAUUCCGAGGGCUCCUAGCUCCCCCGCCCAUUUCCCUCCUUCUCCCUAAAUGUGAAGUCACCGCAGGCUGCCCUUGAGAUUUUCUGGAAAUGGAAAAUGAGAAAUCCUAGAGAGUUAGAUUUGAAACCGAAUUUAGUGGCCGUGGGGAUUUUUACCAGCCGGUGCUAUCCACAUGCUUGACCAAGGCCUGGGUGAAUGGCUUAGGUAGGUCACCUGAGCUUAGAUGGAUCACCUGCUUCCUCUGGUCCUUGCAGAAUGGGAACCCCAGUUCCUGGAGCUGUUGACUGGUUUUCACAGUGAUUAGGCUAAGUUUGGAGACCGUAUCACUCAUCACAGAAGUUAUAGUAGAGGCUCUGACAAGGCCUGCAAUUAAAAAUACACUUAUUUAGGCCAGUGUUCACCAAA